AGUACAACCACUGGAUCAGAAGAUGUUAUCUUUAAUUUUUAAAGGAACUGGGAAACUAUUUUCCAAAAUAGUUGUAUUAUUUGACACUCCUACUAGUGGU
rnacentral:pre_miRNA from 1 species